UACAGAGGUCUCAAGCGUUGUUCGGAUUCAUUGGGCGUAAAGGGCUCGUAGGCGGCCAACUAAGUCAGACGUGAAAUCCCUCGGCUUAACCGGGGAACUGCGUCUGAUACUGGAUGGCUAGAGGUUGGGAGAGGGAUGCGGAAUUCCAGGUGUAGCGGUGAAAUGCGUAGAUAUCUGGAGGAACACCGGUGGCGAAGGCGGCAUCCUGGACCAAUUCUGACGCUGAGGAGCGAAAGCCAGGGGAGCAAACGGG
rnacentral:rRNA from 1 species